AAACAUCCCUCCUUCCUCUUCCAUCAAAACAAACACACUCUUAAGUUUUUUUAAUAAGUGGGUGUUUAUUAAGAAAAAAGUGAAACAGUAUUUUGAUGGAGGAAAAUAGGUACAAUGACAUUCUCCACUCUCGUAGAAAACAACAAAUUGGUAUGUUUGAAAGUCUGUGCAGUGUGCUGUACUUCGAAGAUAGUCAGAGUUGGAAUAUGAUAAAGCUUGAACCAUGAAGUUUGACGAAUUCUCAAUCUCAUUCUAAUGUUGACAAAAAAACCUCACCUUCGUCUCACAUUACUUCUCCGUGGGAAGUGGAAACUCCCAUCUUGGAAUUUUCCAUCCAACUUCUGCCUUUUCACUGCCCUUCCUUGCUAUCACUUUAUAAUAAAUUCAACUUUACAACUUGAACGCAACGAAGAAGCAAAAAUAUAUAAAAAAAAUGCUGAGGAAGAAUAAGAUAUUGAGCCCACUUCCAUGGCUCGUGAAGAAAGAAGGAAGCGGAGACUGGUAAACGGUACAAGUCAAAUUGAUUCGGUGAGAUCUGUAAUUGGUAACGCGGCUAUCCCUCCACAAUUUUUUCCUAGUCUCAAAUCUCGGCACCCUCCAACUCUGCCAAAUUCCCACAUCACACUAAUUUUGUUCACCUAACUAAUUAUCUUCACCUCCACCGCCCAAUACACUUCUAUUUUCUUUUUAGGAAUCCAAACUAGAUUAUAUAAUAUAAUUUCGUUAUAAUAUUAAAAAAUUAUGUACUCGUUAUAUUUAAAAGAAAAGUUAUUAAAGUUUUUAUUUUAUUAAAUAAAUAAAUAAAAAUUAUUUAUUAAAAAGUUUAAUGAUUUAAUUAUUCUUUAUUUUUAAACCGUUUUUUUUUCUCAUUUUACAGGUAAUUUUAUUAUAUAGGUAGUUAUUAAAUGAAAAUAUAUCUUAUACUUAACCUGUUAUCUUUUCGAAAAGAAUUAAUCUAACUGUGAUAUAGAUAAUCUUAUCUUAAAUAAUCUUUUUAAUAGGCUAUACAUAAUCUAGUAUAAUCUUAUUACUAAACUAUUAUCUUAAGUGCUCUUCUUAACAGAAAAUAUACAGUCUUUAAGUAAUCUACUUUUAUCUUAAAAAAUCUUUUAGAAAAGUUGUAGGUGUUAUGCUAUAAAUACCAACGUAGAGCAUUGGCCUUAGACAUUGCAACUUCAUCGAGUAGAAAGAGAAAAGAAGAGCACAAAGAUCUAGUCCUACAAACAAACAGGGGCGACUUACCUCCAAGAACACAUAUCCAUGGCAAGAAGCUUGUUCCUUGUGCUAUUUGCAGUAGCCACCCUUCUUCAUGGCUCCGCUGCACAGACCAGACACGUGGUGGGUGAUUCCACUGGCUGGACCAUCCCUUCCGGCGGUGCUGCAACCUACACCACCUGGGCUUCCGACAAAACCUUCACAGUGGGUGACACUCUUGGUACGUUAAUCUUCCAAAUCUUUCUGUUCAUUGGUUUAUUAUUUAUGUGUCAUUAAAUUACAAAUUUAUGAAUUAUAAUUUUUUUAUUAAUGACUUUUGCAGUGUUUAACUUUACCAACGGCCGACACGAUGUGGCUAAGGUGACGAAAUCAGCUUAUGACGCAUGCAACGCUGCCACCACCCUUUUCACCCUUACCUCCGGUCCAGCGAGCGUGGUGUUGAACCAGUCAGGGGAACAAUAUUACAUUUGCUCCUUCGGAACACACUGUUCCCUCGGUCAGAAAUUGACAAUUAACGUUGUUAACAGAAACUCUGCUACUCCUUCCCCUGCCCCUCAACCCAGUAGGAGUGGUUCUCCACCAACGGCUAGCCCUGUCCCCACACCAACACAAGCACCUACACCAGCACCAAGCACUGUGCCAGCACCUGCUCCAGGCCCAUCCUCUGGACCAGUUACUUUCACUGUUGGAGACACCUCAGGCUGGAUCGUUCCUUCUAAUGGUGCUGCAGCUUACACAUCCUGGGCUUCUGGCAAAACCUUCAAGGUUGGAGACAUACUAGGUAAGUCACCAUCCAUCAUUAAAUUAAACACUUACACAUUUUUAAGAGAUUUAUAGUUGGUCAAAACUUGAAUCAAAUAAUUAACCAGAAAACAUCUAUGGUUUGUGUUUUGAAGUGUUCAACUACCAAUCUAACACACACAACGUUGAGGAAGUGACAAAGGAGAAUUUCGAUUCUUGCAACUCAACCUCUCCUCUUAAAACUUACACCACUCCACCUGCCAGAGUGACUCUCACCAAAUCCGGUGCUCACUAUUUCAUCUGUGGCUUUCAAGGGCACUGUCCUGCAGGUCAAAAGCUUGCCAUCAAUGUCACCGGCAACAGCGCCACCUCGCCUUCCCCCAUCGCCACCCCUCCUUCCGCCACCACCACCCCUCCUUCCCCCACCACCAACCCUUCUACGCCUUCUCCUACAGGCUCUCUCGCCCCUCCCCCAUUGAACUCCGGAGCUGCAUCUCUCGGACUUGUUGGAGUUUCUGCCACCCUUCUUUCACUUGCCGCGGCUUUCUUUUAUUAGAGACAUGAGAUUCUUAUAUUAGGAACAUGAGAUUGUAAUUAGGAGUGUUUGGAACUCGCGAUUAUUAUCGCCCUUCCAUUGUUUUUCAUGAAUUCACUUUGUUUAUUUUUUUUAAGGAUGAGAAUAAAGUGAGCUUUCCCUUAAUCCGCUGCAGUUUUGUUUCUUUUUUUUUCCUUUCUUGUUUUAUCCUCUUGAUGACUAAAAUUGUUAGCUAUAUUUGUAAAUUGGAAUUGGAGAUACAUAUAUAUAUUUGAAUGAUGAACAAAUCGAUGACGCCUUUCGCUGUCAAUCUUUUGUUUGGUGGUGCCAAAAUUGGGUUUGAUUAUAGAAUUAUAGGAAGAAAGUUGAUAACUUACCCCGUCUGAAAAAAAUAAAUUAUUUUGAAAACGAAAGUGCUUGCAAAAGAAAGCGUGACACACGGAAGUCAUAAACGAAAGUGCUAGACCCUUUUGUUGUUGUGUAUGUGAAUGUUGGGGUAGACUCACUUCCACUUAAACUAUUAAAUUAUAUUGAACUUUGAAAUAUGGGUUCCCAGUUUCUCAUGUAUGAUUAUAAAUUAGAUUAGAAAAAACCCCACAAGUUUAGGUAUCCUAUGCAGGACCCUAUUAAAUAAAAGUUAUGCAACAUGCCAACAACAUAAUGUUCUGUAUCUAUAAAUUAAAGUAACCAUAACCAUCUUGUUCUAUCUUAAUGAUUUUACUUUUUCAUUAUUUUUUAUAUUUCUUCGUGUCUUUUAUUUUCAUCUCUUUUACUUCUUAUUUUUGUCUUUAUUAACUUACUAAUUUAAAGUUCCAGCAUCACUUAUCUGAUUUAAAUUUCUUUACUUUUACUUCACAAUUUAAUCGUAUAGUCAAAAUUUUAUCUCCUUAUAUAGAGGUGAGUAAAAUUUUACACUUUAUGCGUAGACUUUAUAGAUUAUUCCCUGAAAACGUUAAUGAUUUGAUAAAACUUAGUGAUUACGCAUCACUAAUGCAAAAUAAUUAUGUACUAAUCAAUUAAAUCAACGUAAUUUUUAAUAAGAUUAUGAUAAAAAUGGACAAAUAUACUAUAAGACUAUUAUUACUUAUUAUACUACAAUAAAAACUUGAACAAAAACUUAUUAAUAAAUAUAAAUUUUGUCACUCUUUAUAUAUUAUUUGUCAUUAUUUUUUAUGUUAUAAAAAUAUUAUUUAUAAUAGUUCUAAAAUUAGAAAAUGACACAAUAAUUAUAUUAGAAGUUAAUAUAUAUAUAUAUCCUAAAUAAUUACUAAAAAGUAUUAUAUAAAUGAAAAAAAAAAUCCUAAUAAUAUAAUUAAUAUAAAUUUAUUAAAUAUUUAUAAAUUAAUGUUUAUUUAUUACUAGUCACAAAGUAUUAAUUAUUAUAAUGCUAAAAUAUUUGUGUCACGUAUUCAAAGGAAAAAAUAUUAAAUUAGUAUUAUUGUAUUUUUUUUAUAUAAAGCUUUCAUUUUAGGCAUAUGUAUGCAACUUGACAUAUCAGGUAGGCUGACACCCCAAAUAACAAUAAUCAUUUGUCAUCACAUGAAAAAAUAUUAUUAAAAGAAAAAAGAAAAUACAAAAAAAUAUGGGGGAUUAGACCAAAACCCAUAUGAUUACAAAAACGACAUAUAGGUAAAUUAUACCUAUUCAUAAAGAACUCUAAGAAUAGACUAAAUGAAAGCCUAUUAUACCAAUGAAAUGAGUCUCUAUGAAUAAAUGUUAAGUGAGGCAUUUUAUCCGCACACGCAUUCUCUUCAUGAAAAAUAUAAGUAACCCUAAACCUUAUUUUCCCACAGUAAUUAAGACAAGUGUUCCACCAAUUACGAAGCAUCCACGAAAUCUUAGUACUAGCAGUAAAUGCAUCACUAACCAAGGCAGAAUCACAUUCAAGCCAUACAUUAGUAAGACUCAUCUUUUGAGCUUUCUCCAUAACAUAUAUAACUACAUAAAACUCAACAACCAAAACAGUUUGAACGUCAAUAAACGCAUAAAAACUACCAAUAAACUCCCCCAUACUAGCAAGACCAGGAUAUCCCUAGCCGCACCAUCAAUGUUAAUUUUAACCCAGCCUAGUGAAGGAAACUCUCAUCUAACAGUAAGAGAACGAAGAACUUUACCACUACGAGUAUUAAUAUCAAAAAACUUAAUCACAUUGAAAUCCAACAUAUCCUUUUUCAUUGAAGCUUUAGACUAAUUUCUCAUUAGACACGUGAGAUCUUAUGACCGAAAUAGUCUGAGAAACAUCAAUUUAUCCUAAAAUCUAACAUAAUUCCUCAUACGUCAUAUCAUCCAAAUAGAAAAAACGUUAUCACAACCAACUUAAUCAAUUUAACCAAAGGACUAUCACUCUUAAUAAAAGAAAGAAGAUCAUCCUUAUUAGAGAAAUGAGAAUUAAUAAAAAUCUGGAGAACUCAACUCCAAAUAUGUAAAGCAGUAGAACAUUUGAAAAAUAAAUGUUUAAUAGAUUCUUCCUGCUUUCCACAAAACAAACACAUAGAACACAUAUGCAAAUCUUUAUUCUGAAUGUGCUGAUCUGUAGCCAAUGAAAAAUUUCCAGAGUAUUAGAGUUUUGGAAGGAGGAAUAUAUGAAGACCAAAUGAUUUUACCCCAACCACAGGGAACUCUUGGAUCUAAGAAAAAAGUCCUAGCCGAUUUUAGAGUGAAAUGACCAUACUCAUCUAGAGUCCAAUUAGGAAUAUCAUGUUCCUCCUGAUAAGUGUCUAAUUUCAGUAAUAUUUCAUAUUAAAAUAUAGGCACUUAUGAGGAUUUAUUGCUAAUUUACAUAUAAAAUAAUCUCUAAUUUAUGAAUUUAUACCUUUUUACAUUUUGUAUGAUCUUUAUUUGAAUAAGAGUAUUUUAUUCCCAAAUUUGGUGUUAAUUGCAGAUUUCUAAGGAAGAUUGGAGAUUUGGAUUAAAGAUGAAUGAUUUGAGCCAAAAAGAUAAAGAUAGAAGGUCCCAGAAUGAAAGAAAAAAAGAAAGAAAGAAAGAUUGGGCCUUUUUAUGUUUUAUCAUUUAGCCCAUUAGCGCGACACAAUAAACAACCUAACCCUAGAAAACUAGGAUAAAUAGAGGGCUAGAGGCUCAACCUUAGGGUGCUAGAUUGAGAGGAAAACACCAUAAAGUGAAUUGUAACCCAAUUGGGAGNNNNNNNNNNNNNNNNNNNNNNNNNNNNNNNNNNNNNNNNNNNNNNNNNNNNNNNNNNNNNNNNNNNNNNNNNNNNNNNNNNNNNNNNNNNNNNNNNNNNNNNNCAGUUUCUUGAUUGAUUAUUGGUAUUGUUGCUUUACUUUUAAUUUUUCGUGACAAAUUGAGAAUCUUAAAUAUGACCGGGAGGUAUUUUUAGGGUUCAGACCUAAACAACAAUACUUAACAUAUUUGAGUGCUAGGAAUAGACUUGAAAUGUUAAUUGCUAUUAAACGUCUGAGCUUCGUUCUAAGUUGUUCUUAUAAUUAUGCGAGGGAUCGAUAGUUAGGGGACAUUCUUAAGGAUUUUAUAUGCGAGGAAUCGAUAUAAAUGAUUUUUAUACGGGCAUCAAUUUCAAUUAAAGAACUUAAUAUUAACAUGCUAAUCAAAAUACAUGAGAGUGAGAGAGAUGAAACUUAAUUCCAAUUUUUCCAAUUGAAGCAAUUAAUUCUUUGUUUGUUUUCUUAUUGAUCAGUGCCAACAUAAUCACUUCAAACUCUUUUUUAUUGUUCUGUUGUUAUAUUUAGCGAAUAUUGUACUCGAUGAUUCACUGUUCUUUGUGGGAUCGAUAUCCGUCCUUAGGGACAAUUAUUACUUCUGACAAAUGCGGUGCACUUGCCGUAAAAAGUCAUCACCUCCCUAAUCAUGAUAUUAGUAAAAAGAUGAGGCAUUUGCGGUAAAGACAAGGGAAUAUUUCAAUCAUAACCAAUCCAAAAUUAGGAGACUAUAUCCGGAAUACUAUCACCAUCAGAUAACCCUGCAAUGUUUGAUAAAGAAGUAGUAGAACACCAUUUAUCAUUCCAAAAAUUAAUAAGAGUACCCGUGCCAACAAUCCAGUAAGUAUGAUCAAGAAUGGUUUCAUAAAACUAUUUAAUUUCAUACCAAAUAGAUGAGGAUCUAUAAACCACUAUAAGUUAUAUUUUGAUUUAAGAACUUUGGCUUUCAGGAGAAGAGACCAAGACUUAUUACUAUAAGCAAAAUUCCAAGCAAACUUAAGAAGAUACACAUUAUUUUCAUGAUGGAGAUUAAUAAUCUUCAAACCUUCAUUCUUAAGAGGAGAACAAAUCUUAGCCCAAUUAACUAUUUUUAUGCCUUUUUUUUUUUCGGUAUAUCACUCAUCCAAGUAAAAUUUCUACACUACUGUUUGACUUGCUUAAGAAUUGAAACAUGCCAUUUAUACAUAUUAAAACUAUACGUUAGAAAUCCAGUAAUGACCGUAUUAACCAACUGAAUCUGACCCAUCAUGCUAAAAGAUCUUCCUUUCCAAGAUGCUAACUUCAAUUUGAUUUUAUCAGCCAAAGGCUGUAGAAAAUUGACACUUUGUAAGCCACAUUACCUCCCCUAACCUUUUUAGAAAGCAUGUUAAUAGUUUCAGAAGAAACACUAAUACAAUCUUGAAAAUUGAAAGCCUAUCCGUCAAUAUUUUGUAAAUAAUCUUAAAUUUUAAAUUACCGACAGCAAUUGGCUUGUAAUCUUUAAUGGAAUCAGCACCCUAAAUCUUAGUAAUGAGAGGGGCCACAUUGCUAUCAUUCUAAGAAGAACCCAAUUUUGCUUAAAAAACUGCUGAACAGCUUUGCAAACAUCCGACCCAAUAAUGUCCCAACAAGAAUGAAAGAAAACACCCCCAAAAUCGUUUGGACCAGGAGCACUAUUACCAUUAAGAUUAAAAAAUGCAUUUUUAAUCUUCAAAUAAUUCGGGCAUUUAAUCAACAUAGUAUUCUCCUCAGAGAAAACCAUUUCAGAGAUAUAAGUUCCAAUAAACUCUUCUAUACUACAUGUAGCCUGAUCAUUAGAACUAGACCCAGCAUAAAUAUUUUUAUAAAAAUCCAAGAUAUGAUUCGCAAUGAGUUUAGGAUACUCAAUAACCUCAUUCUCAAUCCUUAGUUUGUGAAUCUCACUAGAAUUAUUUCGCCUCUUUACCACAACAUGAAAAAAAAACAAUAUUUUUAUCCUCAUCUUUAAACUAAAGCAUCUUGGCCCUCUCUUUCCAAAACAAGUAUUGACAAUGAAGAACAUGAUCAAACUCCUCCUUAACAAUCCUUUCUUGACAAAUAAGCCCAUCAAUAUCAAUAUUAUUGUAUAUUUAAAUUUAUUAUCUUUAUUUCUAAGGUAAUAUUAUUUUCAUUUUGUCACAUCACAAUUAAUAUGGAUAAAUAUAAAAGUUUUCACUAUUUUUUAAUUUGUCAAUUUUUUUCUAUUAAUACAUGUCACAAAUAAUUACAUAUUAACAUAAAAUAUCAUAUGAUAAAACUAUUUUUCUUUUGAUAAGAAUAUUAAUAAAAACAUUAUUGAAUGUUUAUAAAUUUAUAAUGAUCAUAUAAUAUUAUUAUUAUAUCAUUAGUAAUUAUUUAUAAAAAGUAAGAAAUUUAUUUUACUUUUUAGAUAAAAAAUUAUUAAUGAGAUAACUAAAUUAUCUAUCUAUUCAUACAUUUGUACUUGUUAUUAUGAUAUUAAUAAAUAACUUAUUAACUUCUUAAAAAUAAUAAACAUAAAUAAUGACAAAAUUAGUUUUACAAAAUGAUAUAAAACAAUACUUAAUAAUUUAUUAUUUUUAUCAAUAACAUUGUUUUCUUUAUCCUCUUUUGAAUCAAUACUUUGAUCAUCAUUUUCUUCCUUGUCGUCAUCAUCAAUAACUUCUAUAGGCAUUAUUGGAUUUUCAUUAGUUGUGAAUUAAGUUAAGUCAUUUAUAUCCAAUGAAAAUUCAUGCUCAUUAUCUGAAGCAUUAGAUACAAAUGAGAUUGAGUCAAUGUAUUUGUUUUCUUGACACACUUCAUUUGAACAUUAAUCUGACAUAUAUUAUACCAAUCUCGUGGCUUUAUUUUCACUACAAUAAGUCAUUAGGGUCUUUGGUGUCCUUAACAUAAUACACUUGUUGAGCUUGAUUAGCUAAGACACAUGACUCAUUAGUCCUCAAUUUAUGCUUAUUAUUAUUAAAAUAAAUCCAUAUUUUUCUUCCUUGUACCCUUCUAAUUCCCUUGGAGUACACAUCACACCAAUCACAUUUAAAUAAAAUAAUAUUAUUUUCUGUAGAAUAAUCUAAUUUAACGAUAUCAGUCAAGACACCAAAGUAAACUAAAUUACUCGUAUUCUCAUCACCUUUUGUUACGAAGUGGACUUUAAGCCUAACUCAACCCCAUAAAACCGGCUCAUAGGAUUGAGGUUUGCACCCACUUAUAUACAAUGAAAGGCUCUAAUCUCUAGUCGAUGUGGGAUCUCCAACACCUUUAACUAAAAUUUCACUAUUUUGUGAUUUCAAAUAUAUAUAUAUAUACAUAUAUAUAUACAUACAUAUAUCAUUUACAUUAAACUUCCAACCAUUUAUUAAAAUUAUAUAUCUUGAAAAACAUUUGAAUCUAGUCCACAAGCUAAGUGAAUCAUGAAUCAUUUAUUCUUAUGUCACUUUCUUUUUUCAAAAGGGCAAACUAUUGAAAAAAAAAAGGUGAAUAUGCUUAAUCUAUAUAAUAAUAAUCAAAGAAAUUAAAUUAAUUCUUACAUACUUUUUUAACCAUUGAAAUUUUUUAUUAAUGUCUUUGUAACAUUUUACGAAAUUUCUUUAUCCAAUUCUUGUUUGUGUUGUCUAAUAAUAAAAUACAUUAUUAUAACGAAACAUAUAGUUACAAUAAUAUAAAUUUUUAAUUUAAUAAAAUCACUUACUCAAUAAAAGGUCUUCAUCACAAUUUUGGAGAACAAAAUUUCUUGUUUGCUCUUAUUUUACUACAUUUAACUCAGCGUAUUUUCUAAUUGCAAUAGUUUUUCAAGUUGUAGAAAUUUUUUAGAUUUGAUUUAUUUAAGUGAUGUAGGUAAUCUUCAUAAUUUCUUCCAUGUUUAUUUAAUAUUGUCUCAAUUUCAUCAAAAUAUCUUUAAGAAAAGUGCACACAUUCUUGUACAAUACAUCCUAUUCGAUAUGAUUUGAUCUUAUGGAAGUACAUUUCAAUUGGAUAUGUCAAACAAUGUUGUACUUGGUCUACAAUGUUUGUCUCAUGUACUAAGUGAAUGGGUAAAUGAACAAUUAUGUCAAAAAAAAAAAGGAAAGAAUGAAUAUUUUCUUUAACUUUUUUUUAGCAAUUGUAAAGUGUCUAAAGUCAAUGUUUUAGACCACAACUCUCUAACCGAACUUAGUUCAAUUAGGGUCUCACAAACUUUCUUUCAAAAUACAUCAUGAAUUGAAAUGGAGGAAAGUGAUAUAAAUAUACAUGACUAUCAUAACAUUUCAUCCUAUAUAUUUUUCCUUCUUAGAUGUUUAAAUCAACUAGAAAAUGACAAAAUAUUUGUUUUUUCUAAGAUAUUAUUGUAUAACAUGCAUAUGAAAAUAUAUAUUUUUCUUAUUGAGUCAUGGUUGUAUGAAACUUUGAACAUAUGAAUAAUAUUAAAUCAGAAGUUUAUAUUAUCUUGUCUUUUUUAAAGAUCCAUCAAUAUUCAUAUUAUGUUGUCAUAUUUUUUUUCAGUAGAUUGUGACAUAAUUUACCUCUCUAGUAAGGCAAUUCAAAAUAUUGUCUUUCUUCCAAUUCUUAAAUAAUUUAAUAUUUUUUUCUCACUUUCUUUUUCGGGUAAACUUAUCAAACGUCACCUGGAUAUAUUUACCAUUAAUACAAGUUUAAAUAUAUAGAUAUUAAUUAAAACAAAUAUGUAAAAAAACAGUAAAAGUUAAUGUAUGAAGAAAGAUAAAAAUAUGGUUACAAUUAAAUGAAAAAAAUACUAAUUGUUAUUUUUUUAAAAUUUACUUAGUUAAUACGUUUUAAAUUAGACAUUAAUUUAAUUUUUAUAUUGAAAAUAUGUCAUUUAUUAAAAUCAUCUCAUAAAGAUAAUAUUUAGAUAUACAAAUUUAUUCAAGAUAACAUAAAAUAAAAAUAAUGUUGUUUUAUCUUUUGCCUGUAUUAGUUUAAAUUCACAUUUAAAAAAAAUAUUAUCUACUACUAAUGUAUAAAUUUUAAAAUGAAUCUAAACAAAUAAGAUAAAAAUAAUAAUAUUCAUGUUCAAAACUUUCACUAUUGCUCAAAGGAUAAGAUUAAUUACCGUGAAUUAAUUUAGUUUAUUUCAAUAUAUUAUAUUAUUUAAUGUUGGAACUUAAAUUUAAAAUAAUUAUUCAAAAUAAAAUUAUUAAUAGUUUAUAAAAUAGAUGCAUCUACUUAAAAUGAUUCUUUUAUUGACGCAUCAUAUGUUUCUACGUCGUUAUUCUAUAAUUCAUUUAAUUUAUUAUGUACAUAAUUAGUAGCUCAUAUAUUUUAUUUCACAUGAUAAAACUACAUCUCUGUCUAUUUUAUCAGCUUGAGAUCACUGUACUAAUAUCAAGUUGUACAAUAAUAAUUAUAAAAAUUAUAUAUUUUUUAGUUUUGUUUAAGUACAGAGUACAAAUAACAAAGACUAUGUGUUGUAAAACUUAUAAAAUAAUAAAGCUAGUAGUUUUAUUUGGCAAGCCUAUAAGUAAUUGUACAAUACCAUACUUAUUGUUUAUGUAAAUAAAUAAACUGUCUCUAAGACUGCUAGCAAAGUAUAGUUUUAUUGGCAGGCUAUACAUUUUUUAGCCCUUAUAUAUAUUCUAUGAGUAUAUAAAUAUACAAUUCUUUUUCGGCUUAACCGUAUUUAUUAUCCGAACUAUAUAAAGUCUUUCACUUUUUAUUUAAAUGAAAACUUUAAUAAAACUAUUUUUAACAUUAUAUUGAAUAAAUUAGUUAAGUAAAACCCAACCUUGUAUAAAAUAAGUAACAUGUAUUGGUUUUUCAACCAAAUGGUGUGAUAUUAUUCUAUUAUUACGCAAAUGAAUAAAUUGUAAAUACAUUCACAUUUAAUAAAGUGUGAUUAGAAACAUGAUUUUGAAAUGAAGAAAUUUUACUUUUAAACAUACACUACAAAAAAAUAAAUAAAUAAAAAUCAAUUUUAUAGAUAAAAAAAUUAGUUAUUAUAUUGAUUAUAUUAUAUUAUAUUAUAUAAAUUAAAAAAAUUAUUAAAAAUAAUUUUAUUAUUGAUAAAUAUUUUUAAAUUGGAUUCAAAUUAUUUAUUAAGAUUUUUUAAACCAAAUUUAGAAUAUAAAUAAUUAGUAGUUAAAACCUCGGUAGUUAAUUAAAUAUCAAUUUAUAAUUUAUUUAUUAAUAAUAGAAAUUAAUUUAAAAAAUAAUAAUUUUUUUAAUCUCUAAAAUAAUAUCUAAUUUAGUCAAUAUAAUAAUUAAUUAUUAUUUUUUUCUAAAAUUGAAUUCUAUUUAAUCAUCAUGAUUUUGAAAUGAAGAAAUUUUACUUCUAAACAUAAUUUUGGAUCAAAUGAAAUUUUUAUACAACCACUUUUUUAAAAAUUAUAUAUUUUUGUAAAUUGAUUUUUUUUUUUAAAUGGAGAAGUGAUUUACAUUGAAAUCAUGUAAGCAUGAACUCAAUUGAAUUUGAAUUUUCUUUUAAACUUUGUUCCAUUUUUUUAAUUAACUGAUUAAUUUUUAUAUAAAAAUGGUUAUUUCAAAAAUUAAAAUGUAUAUAUGUUUUUUAAUUUAAAAUUAAUGUUUGUAUUAAUUUUAAUCUACAAAAUUUUUAAAAAAAUAGUUCAUUACAAAAACCAAACAAAGUUAAAAUUCAAUAUACGAUUUCAUUGUAAUGCAUUUCUCUGUUACGAAAAGAAUUUGAUUUAAAUAAAUAUAUAAUACCUAAAAAUGUACUUGUAUAUAAAAAAAUUUAAAAGUUAUAUUACAAAAAAUUUAGUUAAUUUAAAAUUUUAAAAACUUAAUUUCAAACUCAAUUUAUUUAAAUACGUAAUUUUUUAAAAAUUUAUUAAUGAAAUAGCAUUAUACCAAUUUGAUAUAAUUAAUUAAAAAAAUAAUAUAUUUUAAAAUAAGUAAAUAUAUAUGAUUUUUUAUAAUAAUAUUAACAAAUUAUAUAGUCGUUAUUUUUUAAAGAAAAGUUAUUUAAUUUUUUAUUUUAUUAAAUAAAGAAGUUAUUUUUUGUUUAUUCAACAGUAAAAUUGUUUAAUUGUUUAACUAUUCUAUAUUUUUAAACCUUUUUUGUCAUUUUGCAGGUAAUUUGAUCAUACGGGUAGUUAGUUAUUAAACGAAAUAUAUGUUAUAUAGAUACAGAUAAUAUCUUAUCUUAAAUAAUCUUUUUAAUAGACUAUAGAUAAUCUUGUAUAAUCUUAUUACUAAAAUAUUAUCUUAAAUAAUCUUUUUAACAGAAUAUAUAUUAUCUUAACUAAUCUAGUUUUAUCUUAAAAAAUCUUUUAGAAAAAAUGCAGUUGUUAUUUCCAAUAACAACUUAGUUCCCCUUGAGCUAUAAAUACCAACGAAGAGCAUUGGCAUUGGACAUCGCAAGUUCAUUGAGUAGAACGAAAAGGAGAAAAAAGAGAAAAGAGGAGCAAGAGAUAUAGAACCAGGGGCAACUUUCCAAGAACACAUAUCCAUGGCAAGAAGCUUCUUCCUUGUGCUAUUUGCAGUAGCCACCCUGCUUCAUGGCUCCGCUGCACAGACCAGACACAUGGUGGGUGAUUCCACUGGCUGGACCAUCCCUUCCGACGGUGCUGCAACCUACACCACCUGGGCUUCCGACAAAACCUUCACAUUGGGUGACACUCUUGGUACGUUAAUCUUCCAAAUCUUUCUAUUCAUUGGUUUAUUAUUUAUGUGUUAUUCAAAUUACAAAUUUAUGCAU
rnacentral:lncRNA from 1 species